UGUAUAGCAAUAGCUACUUGCAUCAUUGUACAGAUGAUGCAAGAUCGACUAUGUCGAAUAAAAUUCUAGGUAGAAUUAUGAUAAUGACAUUGUCUGCCUAUGUGUCUUGACCAAAUUACGUGCCAGCAGUCGCGGUAAUACGUAGAAGACUAGUGUUAUUCAUGUUUAAUCGGUUUAAAGGGUACCUAGACGGUAGAUCAAGCUUUUUCAUAUAAAUUCUGAUAAUAAAAGGGACUAAUUUGCUAGAGUUACUUACGAGGGGGUAUUAAAGUACUGCUGGUGUAGAGAUGAAAUUCUGUCAUACCUCUUUUCGAAAGAAAAAUCAUGGCACAGGUAUAGGCGAAGGCAUCCCCUUAUGUGAUAACUGACGUUGAGGGACGAAGGCUUCGUGUAACAAACAGGAUUAGAUACCCUAGUAGUUGGAGCAGAAAAUGAUGAAUGUCAUAGAUUAGAUAUAUAAGUUUAUUCUAUAAAUGAAAGUGUAAGCAUUCCACCUCAUGAGUAAUUUGGCAACAUUGGAAUUGAAAUCAUUAGACCGUUUCUGAAACCAGUAGUGAAGUAUGUUGUUUAAUUUGAUAGUCCGCAAAAAACCUUACCACAAUUUGAAUAUUUAUAUUUUUUUUUAUUGUUUUCUUCUUAAUUUUCUUCUAAUUACAUAUUCAGCAUGUAAAAACAAGAAAGUUAAUAAAAAGACAAUAAUAUAUAUUUACAAGCGUUGCACGGCUGUCUUCAGUUAAUGUCGCGAGACUUUGGUUAGUUCCAUUAAAUUAACGUAAACCCUUACUUUAUUUUUAUAUAGAGUAGUUCCCCGCU
rnacentral:rRNA from 1 species